AUGAUACGCUUUACAAACGCGCAAUCGACCUCGCAGAGGAUCGGGACGCGAGCGGCGAGAAAGCGUCGGUGCAUUUCAUCUCUCCACUACCGCAAACCCCCAUUACACCCAAAGCCAGGAGGAGGAGGAAAAAAAAGUGUACCGUACUGUACCUGUGAGAACCUACUUUCCGUUUCCGAGCGCAUCGGGAAUAGCGUUGUAUGCGGCGGGAUGCGAAUCGUGUCAUCGAUGCGGAUCUCUGAGUUUAAAAAUAACAAAGAAAACAGUCGCUUCUCCACCUCUCCAUUGCUGUCUCUCACACUCCUGUGCCCGUGUGCGAGUGAGAGAACGAGAGUGUGUGUGUGAGAGAGAGAGAGAUGUGCAGCGCCGCGCAUGGACAGAAAUCACACUGCCGCCUGGAGAAGAAGAAAAAAGAUGAAGGCGAGGAAACCCUGGAGUAUGAGGAGCGCCAUGGCGAAUUCAUUUACACUCACUGCGCUCACAAACACGUUUAGACCAUUUAGAGGUGAACAGCGCAUCGGGCAGAAUAAUUAAAAUGAUAUAUGCAUGAGGAGAUCUUCUGGAAAAUGAUGUUUUAUUUUACAUUGAGCGGGUCGCCCCCUCACGGACGCCGCCAUGUUGACAUCACAUGACCUGGCGAGUCAUACAGUCCACCAGUUCUGCCUGUAAUAUUUUGUUUACUUUAUGAUCUAAACCAAACAAGCAUACCCAAUAAAAUAAAAACAAACAUAAUCUACACUGGAGGAAAACAAACAAACAAACUGUUGGAAGAUGCACUGGUAGUGCUCUGCCAGGGGGUGUUUCUAGCCUUUCAUCAGUCGGGAAAAAAGGUAGUGCCCAUAUUUUUAAGCUCUUUUUUUAAAAGUGUUUUCUGCUGUUCUCAAGCUGUCAGUGCAAUGAAGAGCUGCUUCAUUGUUGACUUAUUAUAGAAUACUUUUUUAAGUUUUGUUUCCUAUCGACUCUAUCCAGUGCUCUGUUUGUUUUAUUUUUCUCCAAUAAAAUAUCCCAUUACUUUUGCGAUGUCAGAAACUGCUGCAAGCGAUUCAGUGCAUGAGUAAACUGUCCUAAUGAAUCAAAAUGAAUCGCAAAUGAUUUUUAGAACCUGUUUGACCCAUUAGAUCAAAACAGUGAUUCAUUCACUUGUUCUGACUCUUAACAGCUUUGAGAAAACUGAAAUAUUAUCAGAAAAAAAAAUUAUUCACACGUCGGUGUAUGGUAAUCUUUAUAUAAGCAUUUAGCCUAUCAAUAAUAUUUUUGAGGCACAGUGGUAUUUUAAAAAGGCCAGGACAAGUUUACAGACAUUUCCUUUAAUCCUAAAGCAAAACAGAUAAAGCGUAAUUCAAAAUACGGAUAAAACUCCUGCAAAAAAUCAGUAUGGAAACUCAAGGCAUAGAUGUACACUGGAUCAGGUUGUUAUUUAACAACAUACAAAUUGUUCAACUGAUGAAACAUCUUUACAAAAGACGUUAAGUGGACAAAAAUGUUUAGUUUUUUUUAAACUUGUGAGUUUAAAUAUUUACAUGUGAUCUAGGACCUAUAUACAGGGCAUGGCACAAGUCUUACAAUGCACCCCCUUUUUCAUCCACAUAAAAUUCAAUAUGGCAUCUAUGAGUUUAUUGGGCCCUAGUUUUACAGAUUUUUCUUAAAGUCUAUGUACUGCAGACACAAUAUUACAAUGAAGCCUGAAGGUGCGUCCCAAAUCGCGUACUUAUGCACUAUUCUGUGACGUUUAUUAGUAUGAAUAGUGUGAGUAGUGCGUUCACACUAAAAAUUCCAAAAAGAAAAAGUGCACUUUAAACACCCGGAUGAUGCACCUAAAUAACCGAAAGAACGAAGUGUGGAAUGUUGGACACUUCAUGCACUCAACUGUCACAGCUUUAAUAACGUAGCGAUGGGGGAGGGGCUAUAUAGACAUGGUUGUGUACAUAGUGCAUAAGUACAUAGUGUAUGCGUGCAUAGUGUAGUGCACCAUUUGGGCCACAGCUUAAGUCAACAGUGUAGUCUUGAGUGAUUAGCAUGUGUGAAAUCUACUAAUUAUAAAAAAAAUAUAUCCAAAUAAGAAAUCAUUCCCUGCUAUAGUGAUGAAACAUGAGCAAUGACCUCCGGCUUCCAUAUAUACAGACCAAGGAUAAACAGCAGGACUUCAAGCACCGAGUGCAAAUUCACAACAAGUCACAGCUGCCACACUGCAAAACGUCUCCAGACCAGAACCACCAACAACAUGCAAAAAAAAUCUUACGAUUGAAUGCAAGAAUGUGCAUAGUAGAAGACAAAAACAGAUGAAAAAGAACGAAACAUAAAAUAAUUAAACAGCAAUGUGAAGAGGCAGCAGUUAGUAAACAAACUUCAUCUAAACUGAGAGGUCAACCCAAAACCACACUAAAUGCAAACAAACAUACUGAGUGCACCUCUAUUCGUUUUAUAAGCAUUCUGCAGAUGUGUCAGUCUGUUUGAUUUAGACCCAGUAGUGUGUAUGUUAGUUAGUACAGUCACUGUGGACUAUAACCUUGAGGAAAUUAUCUCAGUUUUCCAUCUGCAGUGUCAUUAACACACAUUUCAUGGCUCUGCCGUGACAGCUUGGACAUGCUAUCUGUUUUUAAUUCCUUCCAGCUAUCAAGGUGCUGUAAUCUAACCAAGUUUUUGAGAAGUUUGCCAGGUGUAAGUAAAUCCCUUCCUUGUAUGGUAAGUUCCUUUUGUGUGCAAUGUACUAAUAUUAUUUGCACAUAAAGUUCUUGUUUAAAUUUCAAUGAAACAUAUAGCUUAAAUAAACCAAAUCCUCAGCCUGAGCUUAGCACAGUAAAACAUGAGGAACCUGAAUCUGAAAAAGCCUCCACAUCUCUCUCAGUGAGAGAAGAGAUUAGAAUCAAGGUACAUUUCGGAUUGUAUAUCUCUCCAUCUAACAAAAGAUGAAAGCAACGUGGUAAAAGAAAGAAUGCAUGAGAUUUAAACACUGUUCUUUUCUUUCAGUCAUGAAAAAGCAUGCAGCAGGAAGUAUGUCUCUUUAUAAUCCUGCUCAAGAAUGGUUUUAAAGUCUUAGAAACCGUACAGAUAUUACGGGAAAUAAAAAUAACCUCCGUCCCAUUUUUAGCCUAUUGAAGGCUAAGAGCAGGAAAUGUGUCAUCAGAGCGGACACAGAGAGUCAAAACCUCUGCAAAUGAUAUGCAGAAGAUAAUUCUGGAUUUAUGAGUUCGUUCAGUGAAGGAAUUCAUGUCUUAUGACUUAGUACAGGCCGUAUAGUGUUAAAGGACCUGCCUUUGAAAAAAUUAGCAGGCCUUAAAGAUGAAUUUUACUUUGUAUGCUCUGAACCUCUGAAGUUAUGACUCAGCACCUGGAUAUAAUCUGGCAUGUUAUCUCACAGAUUCAUUGCAGAAAGAUCAAAGGCCUUUGGAAGGUGAAGCCCUGUUCCUCCUUUUUAUGACUUUAUUUGAUUAGCUCAUCUGAAAAUGAAAGAGUGGUUUGUGUGGAACCAUGACUUUAAUGACAUAUUACAAAUUGCUCAUGGGAAAUCAAGACUGGGUGUAGUUAGGCAUUCGUCUCGGAAUUUGACACACCUUAACAUUCACAAAAGAACAUUAAAGGAACAUUUGUCAUGGUUUGCCAAACCAAGGUCACCAAAAAUUUGCUAAGAAAUUAUGAUGACCAUGCCAAAUGAACCCUUAAUUUACAUUUUGGGUUGUGUACAAUAUUCAAUAUAGUUUGAAUUUGGUAGGAUUUUGAAAAUAUAUAUUUUUUUACGCUCUGCAAAAAAGUCUGCAUAAAACCGUAAUAUUGAAAAAAUAUUAUAACCAUUUAAAAUAACUUUUAUUAUUAUUAUUAUUAUUUGAAUAUAUUUUAAAAUGUAAUUUAUUCUUGAUGCCAUAUGAUUCUUCAGAAAUCAUUCUGAUAUGAUGAUUUGCCGGUCAAGAAACAUUUCUCUCUCAUUAACAAUGUUUAAAACAGCUGCUUAAUAUUUUUGUGGAAACCGUGAUACAUUCUUUUCAGGAUAAUUUGAUUUAUAAAGUUUGGUAGCUUUAUAAAUGCCACUAUUUGAUUUAUAAAGUUUAGUAACUUUAGAAAUAUCAUUACUGUCACUUUUGAUAAAUUUAACAUGUCCUUGCUGAAAAAAAUUAUUACAAAAUAUCUUACUGACCAAAAGCCUAUAUGUAUGUACACUACUGUGCAAAAGUCUAAGGCACGUUAGUAUUUUCACCCCAAAGAAUGGUGUUCGGCCAGUUAUUUCUAUCUUUUGCUGUAGUGUGUCAGUAGGAAAUAUCAGUUUACAUUUCCAAACAUUCCUUGUACCAUUAAUUGUAAUAAUCCAAUUUUUUUUUCAUGCACAAGGAGUCUGACAGCAGCCAGUGCUCCAAGCAGAGGUUUGAUGUAUGUAUGUGUGUAUAUCUAUCUAUCUAUCUAUCUAUCUAUCUAUAAUUAUAUAUAUAUAAUUAGUUAGUAAGACUCUAAAAGUACUCUGUAAAGAUAUAGCCAUUCAUACCUAUAUAUCUGCACUCAGUAAGUUUUGUUCCCAUAUGUCAUUUAGUUAUUAUGAAUGAAAAUGCAUUACCUGAGGAAAUCGUACGUUUCUGUCUUGCGUUUUCUGGCUUCCCCCAACUCUCCCUCCAUUGACAGAAGAUUCCAUUUCAGUACCAUUGACUGUAUCAAGUUCCAGUAAAAACGGCAUCCUCCUCUUUUUCAGAGAAUCCAAGGUGAUUGUCCCCCAAAAAAUGGUCCAUUCCAGACUAUCGACUGUCCCCAUUCGAAUCUAAAACACAGGUAUGAAAAAACAAUAAUAUCAAAUCUUUUUCAGCAGAAAUUUCCAACAAUGUACUUCUUUAAUUUUCUAUUUUGGUUUAUUCACACACACACACACACACACACACACAUAUAUAUA
rnacentral:lncRNA from 1 species